GAUGAACGCUGGCGGCGUGCCUAAUACAUGCAAGUCGAGCGAACGGACGAGAAGCUUGCUUCUCUGAUGUUAGCGGCGGACGGGUGAGUAACACGUGGAUAACCUACCUAUAAGACUGGGAUAACUUCGGGAAACCGGAGCUAAUACCGGAUAAUAUUUUGAACCGCAUGGUUCAAAAGUGAAAGACGGUCUUGCUGUCACUUAUAGAUGGAUCCGCGCUGCAUUAGCUAGUUGGUAAGGUAACGGCUUACCAAGGCAACGAUGCAUAGCCGACCUGAGAGGGUGAUCGGCCACACUGGAACUGAGACACGGUCCAGACUCCUACGGGAGGCAGCAGUAGGGAAUCUUCCGCAAUGGGCGAAAGCCUGACGGAGCAACGCCGCGUGAGUGAUGAAGGUCUUCGGAUCGUAAAACUCUGUUAUUAGGGAAGAACAUAUGUGUAAGUAACUGUGCACAUCUUGACGGUACCUAAUCAGAAAGCCACGGCUAACUACGUGCCAGCAGCCGCGGUAAUACGUAGGUGGCAAGCGUUAUCCGGAAUUAUUGGGCGUAAAGCGCGCGUAGGCGGUUUUUUAAGUCUGAUGUGAAAGCCCACGGCUCAACCGUGGAGGGUCAUUGGAAACUGGAAAACUUGAGUGCAGAAGAGGAAAGUGGAAUUCCAUGCGUAGCGGUGAAAUGCGCAGAGAUAUGGAGGAACACCAGUGGCGAAGGCGACUUUCUGGUCUGUAACUGACGCUGAUGUGCGAAAGCGUGGGGAUCAAACAGGAUUAGAUACCCUGGUAGUCCACGCCGUAAACGAUGAGUGCUAAGUGUUAGGGGGUUUCCGCCCCUUAGUGCUGCAGCUAACGCAUUAAGCACUCCGCCUGGGGAGUACGACCGCAAGGUUGAAACUCAAAGGAAUUGACGGGGACCCGCACAAGCGGUGGAGCAUGUGGUUUAAUUCGAAGCAACGCGAAGAACCUUACCAAAUCUUGACAUCCUUUGACAACUCUAGAGAUAGAGCCUUCCCCUUCGGGGGACAAAGUGACAGGUGGUGCAUGGUUGUCGUCAGCUCGUGUCGUGAGAUGUUGGGUUAAGUCCCGCAACGAGCGCAACCCUUAAGCUUAGUUGCCAUCAUUAAGUUGGGCACUCUAAGUUGACUGCCGGUGACAGACCGGAGGAAGGUGGGGAUGACGUCAAAUCAUCAUGCCCCUUAUGAUUUGGGCUACACACAUGCUACAAUGGACAAUACAAAGGGCAGCGAAACCGCGAGGUCAAGCAAAUCCCAUAAAGUUGUUCUCAGUUCGGAUUGUAGUCUGCAACUCGACUACAUGAAGCUGGAAUCGCUAGUAAUCGUAGAUCAGCAUGCUACGGUGAAUACGUUCCCGGGUCU
rnacentral:rRNA from 1 species